rnacentral:rRNA from 1 species
GACGAACGCUGGCGGCGUGCUUAACACAUGCAAGUCGAGCGGUAAGGCCCUCGGGUACGACGAGCGGCGAACGGGUGAGUAACACGUGGGUGACCUGCCUCUAGCUCUGGGAUAAGCCUGGGAAACUGGGUCUAAUACCGGAUAUGACUCCACGGCGCAUGUUGUGGGGUGGAAAGCCUUGUGUGGCUAGAGAUGGGCCCGCGGCCUAUCAGCUUGUUGGUGGGGUGANGGCCUACCAAGGCGACGACGGGUAGCCGGCCUGAGAGGGCGACCGGCCACA